rnacentral:rRNA from 1 species
AACGUAGGACGCAAGCGUUAUCCGGAUUUAUUGGGCGUAAAGAGCUCGUAGGCGGCUUGUCGCGUCGACUGUGAAAUCCCGCGGCUCAACUGCGGGUCUGCAGUCGAUACGGGCAGGCUAGAGUUCGGUAGGGGAGACUGGAAUUCCUGGUGUAGCGGUGAAAUGCGCAGAUAUCAGGAGGAACACCGGUGGCGAAGGCGGCGUUCUGGACUGCAACUGACACUGAGGAACGAAAGCCAGGGGAGCAAACGGG